UACGUAGGGUCCGAGCGUUGUCCGGAAUUACUGGGCGUAAAGAGCUCGUAGGUGGUUUGUCGCGUUGUUCGUGAAAACUCACAGCUCAACUGUGGGCGUGCGGGCGAUACGGGCAGACUUGAGUACUGCAGGGGAGACUGGAAUUCCUGGUGUAGCGGUGGAAUGCGCAGAUAUCGGGAAGAACACCCGUGGCGAAGGCGGCUCUCUGGGACGGUACUGACGCUGAGACGCGAAAGCAUGGGGAGCGAACAGG
rnacentral:rRNA from 1 species